UGCCUACGCUGCUACUGCUGCUCCGAGUGGUGGGAGCGCCUGGUGCGACCCCGAGAUAGGUAGUGGGCCGCUUGGGGAAAGGCCUUCAAGGGUGUCCUUGGGUCCCCAUCCAGCUUCCGAGGCGCACGCCAGGCUCCGCGCGGAGACGUCAGGGUCUCUGAAGCAGGCAUAGCGACAUACAUGGAGCCCGAACAUAGUUCCAGCGGACUGGGUUGGACUGGUGCCAGAUGUGCCGCGAGGGUGGGGCACAUUCUAUUGCCAGCAGUAACCAGGACCCAGCCCCCGCUACUCUUCGGGUGCCAAGCGCCUAAACUCGGCUGAUCCUGUUGCCGAUCCAACACGGGAUGGGCUCUGGAGUCUCCCGAAAGGGGGCCACCUUUGCUUAGCUCCUCAUUUGUGACAGCCUCCAGCAGCUUUCAAGAAAGGUACCUGGGGAAAACUCCCUAACUUACACCCCUUUCUGCACUCCCGUCUCCCCUGGCUGCUGCCACAGCAUCAACAUCUCGUCGUAAAGGUUCCGGAAGUCAGUGGGAGGAAAGGGCCCAGCAGAGGGAAAGACUGUGUCAAGGCUGGGAGUGUCAUAAUAGCAGGUAGCAGCACUUCCAGGGUUAUUGUUAGUGUUCAUAUGCCAUUAAGGGGCACACAGCGGUCUUUUUUCUUCCUUCCUUCCUUUCUUCCUUCCUUCCUUCCUUCCUUUUUUUCUUUUAUUUUUGGCAGGUUCUCACUAUGCAGCCUUGGCUGACUUGGGAUGUUCACCUAUAGACCAAGCUGGUCUCAAACUCAUAGAGGUAUGUCUGCCUACACCUGAGAUUAAGGCAUGCACUACAGUGUAUCGGAAAACCUUUCUUCAUAACAGAUGGAGAAACCAAGGCACACAGAGGUUAAGUGCCGCACAACAGUGGAACUGAAGAGCUGGAGGUUAGCAGAGGCUGCAGGAGGGGCUUCCAGGAGACCAUAAAGGGCCCUGCAGGUGGCACUACCUGAAGGUUUGGGCCAGGCAUGGAUUCUCAGUGUGGAUUCAAAAUAAAAAUCCAAAUAAAUGUAUAAUGCUCACCAAAA